rnacentral:rRNA from 1 species
AUUGAACGCUGGCGGCAGGCCUAACACAUGCAAGUCGAGCGCGCGGCGGACGGGUGAGUAAUGUAUGGGGACUGCCCGAUAUAGGGGGAUAACUACUGGAAACGCUAGCUAAUACCGCAUACUAUCGGAUAACCCAUAUGGGAUUAGCUAGUAGGUGAGGUAAUGGCUCAACUAGACGACGAUCCCUAGCUGUGCUGAGAGGAUGAUCAGCCACACUGGGACUGAGACACGGCCCAGCCUCCUACGGAGGCAGCAGUGGGGAAUAGUGCACAAUGGGCGCAAGCCUGAUGCAGCCAUGCCGCGUGUAUGAAGAAGGCCCGAGGGUUGUAAAGUACUUUCAGUCGGGAGGCGUUACCGACAGAAGAAGCACCGGCUAACUCCGUGCCAGCAGCCGCGGUAAUUC